CCUACGGGGGGCAGCAGUGGGGAAUAUUGCGCAAUGGGCGCAAGCCUGAUGCAGCCAUGCCGCGUGUGUGAAGAAGGCCUUCGGGUUGUAAAGCACUUUCAGCGGGGAGGAAGGCGUUAAGGUUAAUAACCUUGUCGAUUGACGUUACCCGCAGAAGAAGCACCGGCUAACUCCGUGCCAGCAGCCGCGGUAAUACGGAGGGUGCAAGCGUUAAUCGGAAUUACUGGGCGUAAAGCGCACGCAGGCGGUCUGUCAAGUCGGAUGUGAAAUCCCCGGGCUCAACCUGGGAACUGCAUUCGAAACUGGCAGGCUAGAGUCUUGUAGAGGGGGGUAGAAUUCCAGGUGUAGCGGUGAAAUGCGUAGAGAUCUGGAGGAAUACCGGUGGCGAAGGCGGCCCCCUGGACAAAGACUGACGCUCAGGUGCGAAAGCGUGGGGAGCAAACAGGAUUAGAUACCCUAGUAGUC
rnacentral:rRNA from 1 species